rnacentral:rRNA from 1 species
CAGUAGCCGCGGGAAUACGGAGGAAGCUAGCGUUGUUCGGAAUUACUGGGCGUAAAGCGCGCGUAGGCGGUUACUCAAGUCAGAGGUGAAAGCCCGGGGCUCAACCCCGGAACUGCCUUUGAAACUAGGUGACUAGAAUCUUGGAGAGGUCAGUGGAAUUCCGAGUGUAGAGGUGAAAUUCGUAGAUAUUCGGAAGAACACCAGUGGCGAAGGCGACUGACUGGACAAGUAUUGACGCUGAGGUGCGAAAGCGUGGGGAGCAAACAGGAUUAGAUACCCCCGUAGUCCCUGUCUCUUAUAC